rnacentral:rRNA from 1 species
GAUGAACGCUGGCGGCGUGCCUAAUACAUGCUAGUCGAGCGAACAGAUGAGGAGCUUGCUCCUCUGACGUUAGCGGCGGACGGGUGAGUAACACGUGGAUAACCUACCUAUAAGACUGGGAUAACUUCGGGAAACCGGAGCUAAUACCGGAUAAUAUAUUGAACCGCAUGGUUCAAUAGUGAAAGACGGUUUUGCUGUCACUUAUAGAUGGAUCCGCGCCGCAUUAGCUAGUUGGUAAGGUAACGGCUUACCAAGGCAACGAUGCGUAGCCGACCUGAGAGGGUGAUCGGCCACACUGGAACUGAGACACGGUCCAGACUCCUACGGGAGGCAGCAGUAGGGAAUCUUCCGCAAUGGGCGAAAGCCUGACGGAGCAACGCCGCGUGAGUGAUGAAGGUCUUCGGAUCGUAAAACUCUGUUAUUAGGGAAGAACAAAUGUGUAAGUAACUAUGCACGUCUUGACGGUACCUAAUCAGAAAGCCACGGCUAACUACGUG